rnacentral:rRNA from 1 species
GAUGAACGCUGGCGGCGUGCCUAAUACAUGCAAGUCGAGCGAACAAAGGAGGAGCUUGUUCCCUUGACGAUAGGGGCGCAGGUGUGAGUAACACGUGGAAAACCCCCCUAUAAGACUGGGAAAUCUUCGAGACACUGGCGAAAAUACCGGAUAAUAUAAUGAACCGUAAGAUUUACUAAAAAAAUACAAUUUCGUCACUACUAUUAGAUGGUUCGGCGCCGCAUUUGCUUGUUGAUAAGGUAACGGAUUACCAAGGCAACGCAGCGUAGCCGACCUGAGAGGGUGAUCGGCCACACUGGAACUGGGACACGGUCCAGACUCCUACGGGAGGCAGCAGUAGGGAAUCUUCCGCAAUGGGCGAAAGCCUGACGGAGCAACGCCGCGUGAGUGAUGAAGGUCUUCGGAUCGUAAAACUCUGUUAUUAGGGAAGAACAAAUGUGUAAGUAACUAUGCACGUCUUGACGGUACCUAAUCAGAAAGCCACGGCUAACUACGUG